rnacentral:miRNA from 1 species
ACAAGACAUUUGCCCUGGGCAUUUGGGGGCGGCUUUUUUUGCCGCCCCCAAAUGCCCAGGGCAAAUGUCUUGUUAGC